rnacentral:rRNA from 1 species
CCUACGGGGGGCAGCAGUGGGGAAUAUUGCACAAUGGGGGAAACCCUGAUGCAGCGACGCCGCGUGAGUGAAGAAGUAUUUCGGUAUGUAAAGCUCUAUCAGCAGGGAAGAAAAUGACGGUACCUGACCAAGAAGCCCCGGCUAACUACGUGCCAGCAGCCGCGGUAAUACGUAGGGGGCAAGCGUUAUCCGGAUUUACUGGGUGUAAAGGGAGCGUAGACGGCUGAGCAAGUCAGAAGUGAAAGCCCGGGGCUCAACCCCGGGACUGCUUUUGAAACUGCGGAGCUGGAGUGCAGGAGAGGUAG